AUGAGUCUCCCAAGACAUGGUAAAGGCUCGAGGGUCAAUUUGGAGGAAAAAACGGAAAACAGGAGGGACAGCAAUAGAAUCUGCUUAUACUAUAAAAUUGCAUGCAGAACAUUUUGUGUCUCAGGAUCUCUGUGUUUUGUUCCUGUGGCAACCAGCUGUGAGAUGAUAUACCUUCAGAACAGAGAGAUGGAGCGAAACUUCAUCCCAUGGGAAUGCAUCUCCUUUUUGCUCCACAGAGCCCCAUCCAUCAUUUUCGCAUUGCAGAGACCCAGCUGAUGCAGGCCCAGCAAGGGUGAGACUAUACAAAUAUAAUGAAAAUCAGUCAGGGGCCAAUUUUCCCUAUCAAGAAGGGAAUUGCAUUUCUCAGACAUGUGGGAAAAGAGAGGUUGAUUACACAUAACAUUUUUCCACAAAGGGAGUAGCAUAAGGGAGAACUCAAGCCAUGUAUGUUUUGAGAGGAAAUUCUCCUGUGCUAAACACAGUCAAGUGCCAUCUGUGCUUCUGACAGUUUCAUCUGACUGCCUGUUUAGUUAUGGGAUUGCUGAUGUGAGCAACUUGGAGGCACUUAUUCGACCCAUAUUCCAUUAUCUCAUGAAUGUUACAAGAGUUUGAAGUUUUCAGAAUAGAAUGUGGAAUGUGGAAUCACCCAAGAGAAAAUGGGAUGUUGCAUCCUACAUUAGUUCAUGUCAUUGGAUGUUAACAGAGAUCAAUAGUUUCUUUUGAUGAUGGUACCCUUGAGUAUUGAAUACUGAUGCCUCUGGAUAGCUGGGUGAGCUUUUCUGUCUGGGGGAUAGUGAAUGGGAAAAAAAAUCAGCAAAUUAGUGAUUAUAAUCACUGGCCUAUUCACCAGACAAUACAUGUGUGAGCUAGAGGAUGGCCACAAAGAGAUAACGAUUUAACAUCAUUUUGUAGAAGUGGCAUCAAGGAUAAAAAGCUAAUUAUCUCAACCAACAAUUGUAUGGAAAAGGCACCGAUAGUGUUAUGAUUUCAAUAUGGACCUGCAGUUUCAAAAUCCAGCAUUCUUUGUAUUCUAUUAUGCUAGCUGUUAUUCCCCUCAAACUCACCCUCAUCAUA
rnacentral:lncRNA from 1 species